CACACACACACAGAUGUAUCGAAUGCAACCUAUGUGUAUAUCUACGGGGACUGUAUGGCGGAUGUAUUUAUAUAUUAUUAUGAUACUAUGAAUAAUUCAUACAACUUAAAAUAUACCUAUGUGUGUACGCUUAUAUUCUAUAAAGUUCGAUAAGAUUCCAGAAUUGUGAGGAGUCAUCGACAUCGUUUCGUCCUUGUAAGGUCGUCGGAUGCGUUUUGUAAGAUUUAAAUAACACCUUAGUUUUGUUGUUCCAAUAAAAGUGUUCAAUCAUUCGGAGCGGCAUCCCGGAUCUUUUUUUGUACCUUAUCAUAUAUUUAUAGAUAUAAUUGUAAAUUCUUGGAAUGUUGUAUUCUAAUACAAUCUUGGAUGUUCUAUGUUAGCGUAUCAUGGAAAAAAAAUCGUGCUGUGGUUUGAACAUGACAAUCGGAAUAUUUUCUAUUAAAUAUAAAUUAAGUUAUAUAUAUUUUUUCAAUGUAUACUUAUUACGAAGUUUUAAUUCAGUAUCUCAUAUAAAACUUCAAGUUUUAAAACGCAAUCCUUAUUCGACAAACUGUAAGGGUAUUUUCACAUUAACUGUUCGGUAAGAGGUUUCGAUGGCCACUUUUUCUUAAGCUCCAAAUUUGUUUGAAUUGAAAUUAAUGAAAACAUAAAUACCAUUAAUACUUUUUUUUUUUAAAAACGUUCUAAAUUCCUUGUUUAUGCGUCGUCGGAUCACAUAAGUCAAUCUUUCCGUUUAUGGCUGUCACAUUGGAAUUUUCGUAGGGAUUUUCCUAUUCUAAUAUUGUUUAUUCAACACGUAUAAUAAAAAAAAUUAAAAUAACUUACACAUUUUUUAUUAUUGCUAACAGAAAAUAAAAUCCGUUCAGAAAAAAAAAACACCUCGAUAAUAAAUUCGGUUACAAGGAAUUCGGUAAAAGAUCGCAUCUGGAGGCGCCAGAGAAGGCACUAACCGGUCGCCGGCGUCUGAACACAAAUUAUGUAAUGUUAUUAUAUAUUUAAACGACUGUUUGUUUAUAAAUAUAUUUAACUUAGAUUAAUGAUGAUACAUUUAAAUUUAAAAUGUUAAACAAGCAAAAUUAAAUUAAUAGUGUCAAAAUUUCCAACACAUGCAGUAAUAGUAUGUGAAUAUAACAAAUUUUAUGUUUCUAUCAAAGUUAGCCGUAUAGAAGCGAAGCCCGGUGUAAAAUCUAGUAUAUAAUAUAUUAAAAACUAAUGAAUACAUGAACUAUCUAAAUAUAGUUGGAAUAUUUCUACUAUAAUAGUAUUAAUCAUAAUAAACUGUUCGUCGGAAGGUCAACGUCGAAAUAACUCAAUAAUAAGGACAUUUAGAGCCACCCGAGAUGCAGGCUUCAUCUCGUUGGCGCCAUCUCAUAUCAAAACAGAGAUAUUAUUAUUGUUUUUAUUUAAAUAGUAUAUUAAUUAUCUGAACUAUAAUGUUAUUCCGGCGACAGUUUUCCUCGAUGUUUCUCACAUUUACUGUAUAAUUAAUAUUAAAACGGAUUUUGCUAUUUCGUAUAUUAUUAUUUUUUUGUAGUAACUCGUCGCGCCGUCGGAUGCUUUGGAUUCUCUAUUUAUUUGUUAGAUGUUUUCUUGUUUUUCUUGUUGUGUAUAAUCUCGCUUGUUGUUUGUUUUGUUUGAUAUUAAAGAUGUCAUUGUUGGCGCACCUAGCUAUCGUUAUAGUACAUUUUAUUUAAUUUCGUACCCACGUAUUCUCAUUGGAUGUGGUAAUUCAGGACCUUGGUCUGGUUUCGUUUGUUUUAGCGCUUCUUCUGUAUCAAUCAGUCCGUUGUUCGAAGUACGUUUUGAAAUUAUAAUUAUCACUCCACGGUAAUUUUUUUUUUUAUUCACAUAGCUCUUGCCAGAUUUGUUUCUCAUGACUUUUUUUUUGUUAUCGCUCCUCCCUAAUUAAUUGAUACCUAUCAAAUUUAAAUAAUAAAAUAUUUGAACACUUAGCGUUUUUAGAUGGAUGAUAAAUUAUAACGAAUCUAAUUAAAAUUUAUGACCAAAUACAGAUCAUUGUUUCUAAAUGAGAAUUUUUUUGCAGAUAUCUUACAAAAAUGUUAUCAUAUAUUAUGAUGGAGGUAGUUAUUUUUUAUCUAUUACAAUGUAUUUGUAUACCAUAAUUCAAAUUUUAAUAUCAAUCGAGGUCCCCGUGGCGCCCUUGCUAUAUUUGGUUACGGAUAUCAAGGUCGUUGUACUGUCGAGAUUGCGGAUACUGCGAUUUAGGAUAGUGCACGAGCGACGUCCUCUUAGACGCUGGGUUCUUGAUACCCAUAAAGCACUACCAACAUAACUAUUAAUUAAUGAGAUAUGAUAAAAAUAUUUAUAUUUAAAAAUAUAAUUAAUAUGCAUUUCUUUUAUUUAAUUAUUACAUUUAUAUAUUUUUUUAUAUAUUUCUAUAAUUUAUAUAUAUAAUAUUAACUGUAUAUACAUCAGUAGAUUUUUUUAUCUUAAUAGUAUAUUAUUACGGUCCCAUCAGAACUUAACCGAGUCUUUGGCCUCACAAAUGUGUGGGGAUGUACGCGGAUCCUGGCUGACGGUUUACGACUUGCAAACUUGCUUCUUUUAUCUUUUCUUUUUAUUAAUAUACAUUCUACCUUUAUGUUAGCGUGUUAUGUGUACUAAGUGAAUUUUGGAAAUAUAAAGACUUGUACCGAA